rnacentral:rRNA from 1 species
GCUUUAACUUCAGAUAGCCAUGCAAGUCUAAGUACGAGCUCCCGUACAGUGAAACUGCGAAUGGCUCAUUAAAUCAGUUAUGGUUCAUUUGAUCGUACGUGUUACUUGGAUAACUGUGGAAAUGCUAGAGCUAAUACAUGCAUAAAGCGCCGACCUCGCGGGAGGCGUGCUUUUAUCAGACCAAAAACCGACCGGGCUUCGGCUCGUCGCUUUGGUGACUCUGGAUAACUUCGCGGAUCGCACGGUCGAGCACCGGCGACGGAUCAUUCAAGUGUCUGCCCUAUCAACUUUCGUCGGUAGGGUAUCGGCCUACCGAGGUUCUUACGGGUAACGGGGAAUCAGGGUUCGAUUCCGGAGAGGGAGCCUGAGAAACGGCUACCACAUCCAAGGAAGGCAGCAGGCGCGCAAAUUACCCAUUCCCGACGCGGGGAGGUAGUGACGAAAAAUAACAAUACAGGACUCUCAACGAGGCCCUGUAAUUGGAAUGAGUACACUUUAAAACCUUUAACGAGUAUCCAUUGGAGGGCAAGUCUGGUGCCAGCAGCCGCGGUAAUUCCAGCUCCAAAAGUGUAUAUUUAAGUUGCUGCGGUUAAAAAGCUCGUAGUUGGAUUUUGGGCGCAGGCGGCCGGUCCGUCGCAAGGCGUGCACUGGCCGUCCUGGCCUUACCUCCGGUUCCCCGCCGGUGCUCUUGACUGAGUGUCGGCGGCGGCCGGGACGUUUACUUUGAAAAAAUUAUAGUGUUCAAAGCAGGCGGUUCGCCUGAAUAAUGGUGCAUGGAAUAAUGGAAUAGGACCUCGGUUCUAUUUUAUAGGUUUUUCGGAACGCGAGGUAAUGAUUAGAGGGACAGACAGCGGCAUUCUUACUGUGCUCGUUAGAGGUGAAAAUGUUGCAUCUGCGGCAGACGAAAUACUGCCAACGCCAUCGCCAAGAAAGGUAUUCUUUAACAAGAGCGAAAUG